CUGGAGGUAUCAGAAGUGCGAAUGCUGACAUAAGUAACGAUAAAGCGGGUGAAAAGCCCGCUCGCCGGAAGACCAAGGGUUCCUGUCCAACGUUAAUCGGGGCAGGGUGAGUCGACCCCUAAGGCGAGGCCGAAAGGCGUAGUCGAUGGGAAACGGGUUAAUAUUCCCGUACUUGGUGUUACUGCGAAGGGGGGACGGAGAAGGCUAUGUUGGCCGGGCGACGGUUGUCCCGGUUUAAGCGUGUAGGUGUGUGUUCCAGGUAAAUCCGGUUCACUUUAACACUGAGGCGUGAUGACGAGGCACUACGGUGCUGAAGCAACAAAUGCCCUGCUUCCAGGAAAAGCCUCUAAGCAUCAGGUAACAUCAAAUCGUACCCCAAACCGACACAGGUGGUCAGGUAGAGAAUACCAAGGCGCUUGAGAGAACUCGGGUGAAGGAACUAGGCAAAAUGGUGCCGUAACUUCGGGAGAAGGCACGCUGACACGUAGGUGAAGUGAUUUACUCAUGGAGCUGAAGUCAGUCGAAGAUACCAGCUGGCUGCAACUGUUUAUUAAAAACACAGCACUGUGCAAACACGAAAGUGGACGUAUACGGUGUGACGCCUGCCCGGUGCCGGAAGGUUAAUUGAUGGGGUCAGCGCAAGCGAAGCUCCUGAUCGAAGCCCCGGUAAACGGCGGCCGUAACUAUAACGGUCCUAAGGUAGCGAAAUUCCUUGUCGGGUAAGUUCCGACCUGCACGAAUGGCGUAAUGAUGGCCAGGCUGUCUCCACCCGAGACUCAGUGAAAUUGAACUCGCUGUGAAGAUGCAGUGUACCCGCGGCAAGACGGAAAGACCCCGUGAACCUUUACUAUAGCUUGACACUGAACAUUGAGCCUUGAUGUGUAGGAUAGGUGGGAGGCUUUGAAGUGUGGACGCCAGUCUGCAUGGAGCCGGCCUUGAAAUACCACCCUUUAAUGUUUGAUGUUCUAACGUGGACCCGUGAUCCGGGUUGCGGACAGUGUCUGGUGGGUAGUUUGACUGGGGCGGUCUCCUCCUAAAGAGUAACGGAGGAGCACGAAGGUUGGCUAAUCCUGGUCGGACAUCAGGAGGUUAGUGCAAUGGCAUAAGCCAGCUUGACUGCGAGCGUGACGGCGCGAGCAGGUGCGAAAGCAGGUCAUAGUGAUCCGGUGGUUCUGAAUGGAAGGGCCAUCGCUCAACGGAUAAAAGGUACUCCGGGGAUAACAGGCUGAUACCGCCCAAGAGUUCAUAUCGACGGCGGUGUUUGGCACCUCGAUGUCGGCUCAUCACAUCCUGGGGCUGAAGUAGGUCCCAAGGGUAUGGCUGUUCGCCAUUUAAAGUGGUACGCGAGCUGGGUUUAGAACGUCGUGAGACAGUUCGGUCCCUAUCUGCCGUGGGCGCUGGAGAACUGAGGGGGGCUGCUCCUAGUACGAGAGGACCGGAGUGGACGCAUCACUGGUGUUCGGGUUGUCAUGCCAAUGGCACUGCCCGGUAGCUAAAUGCGGAAGAGAUAAGUGCUGAAAGCAUCUAAGCACGAAACUUGCCCCGAGAUGAGUUCUCCCUGAGACUUUAGGUCUCCUGAAGGAACGUUGAAGACGACGACGUUGAUAGGCCGGGUGUGUAAGCGCAGCGAUGCGUUGAGCUAACCGGUACUAAUGAACCGUGAGGCUUAACCUUACA
rnacentral:rRNA from 5 species